GAGGACCGAGCGGUGCUCGGGUGGUCAGCCGCGUGGGCGCGCGAGCUGCCGGCGCGAGUUCGAUCCCUGGGGAUCGCAACUCGCGUCUCUCACUCGGGGGUGUGUUCGUGUGCGUCUCGUGUUGUACCCUUCAAAAAAAAGAUUCUCCCUACUAAAAUAAAAAUAUAGAACGCUAAACUAUAUAAGUUUUAUUCCCACUAUAAGGUUUACGAGCCCCAAUAUACUGUUUUCUAUUGGUAGUACAAAUAAAUU
rnacentral:lncRNA from 1 species